rnacentral:rRNA from 1 species
CACCUCUUCCCAUUCCGAACAGAGAAGUUAAGCCCAAUCGUGCCGAUGGUACUGCGUUUUGUGGGAGAGUAGGUAGCCGCCAUUU